CAUUAAAUUGGAUGGUCCGAGAAGUUAGCCACAUUAGAUUUUCAUAGAACGUUGAUUUGAAGUUUGGCAGUGUUGCCAUGUGAUUAUAAUGUAUAAUAUGUUGCACGCUUCAAAUAUACAGAGAAAGCUUUAAAAACUAUCUUUUUUACAUUAUUUUGUGGAUUUUGCUAUUUUUUAAUGUAUGUAAAAUACGAAAGAAUAAAUAUUUGUUGUUUGUUUUGAUAUUAAUUGCAGUUAUUAUUAGAAAUUGUUUUGUGGCAAUUAUCCUGAUAGGUUACUGAGUAGAUUUGGCAAUAGAGUGAGAACGUUUAAAUUUGCGUUUGCCAGAUUGCACAGAUGUUCCGCAGAUAUACAUUUUAUGACUUUCUUUCUAUUAUAUUAUAUUUCUUUUUAUUAUUUUAUUAUUUGGAAUGAAUGUACCUGAAAUGCUUUUAGUUACUGAAAAGUGUUUACUUCGUCAGUACGUUAUUUUUGUGUUCAUUUUGUAUUUUUUGAAAUAUUAAAAUGCCUACAACUAUUGUAGCACGUGAAAGACUUUUGAACAUAGCGCAAAUGCGGGAAGAGCGAUUCACUUUAGGGGAAAUAUGUACAAAUUUUGCGGAUAAUUUUAACGCAUUAGUGUGGUGCGCGAUGCGGUUACUAAUUAAAAAUAGCAUUCUGUGCAAUCUAUGCAAUAUUAGUAAGAACUUAAUUAAGCGAAAUUCCUUGUCGGACGGAUACAUCUGGAAAUGUAAUGGAUGUGGUCAGCGUACUUCGGUAAGAGAUGGUUCGUUCUUCUCCAAAAGCCUGCUACCGUUGAAGAAAAUGAUAGUCAUCAUUUACGGCUUUGCAAAUGACUUCCCACAAACCCAGAUCAAGAUUGAAUCUGGGGUUGGAAGUCCCACUAUUGUCGACUGGUGCAAUUUCUGUCGAGAAGUGUGCACGCAGAUAUUUGCAAGAGCACCCUGUGGAAAUUGGAGGAUUCGAUGAAAAUGGUCAACCCAUUACGGUAGAAAUUGAUGAAUCCUACUUCUUCCCCAGGAAGUACAAUAGAGGUGCUUACAGGCCCGGACGCUGGAUUUUUGGUGCUGUGGAGAGGAAUAGUGGCAAAUUAUUCGUGAUACCGGUGGCAGCAAAAAGCGAGGAAAUACUAUUGCCCAUCAUAUCCAGAAUGAUUUUACCGGGGUCAAUAAUUGUCUCUGAUGGAUGGAGAGCGUAUACCAAUAUCGGUCGCUUAGAAGGAGGGGUGUAUGAACACAGGGUUGUGAUUCAUCAGCAAAAUUUUGUAGACCCUGAUGAUGAUAGUGUUCAUACACAGACCAUUGAAAGUGUGUGGAUGCGAGCAAAAAAGAAGCUCCGCAGGCAAUGCGGAACUUCUAGAGAUUUGUUCGAAUCAUAUCUGGACGAAUUUCAAUGGAGAGAGCGGAUAAAAAACAGGGACAGAUUCGUAGAGUUUUUAAUUUGUCUACAAGAACAGUUCGUAGUUUAGUUAAAUUUAAGAUUAGUUUAGUUAGUCGGUAGUAGAAUUUUUAGUUUAGUUUAAUUUGCUUUUUAGCAGAACAAUUCAUAGUUUAAUUAAAUUUAAAAUCAGUUGAUAUAGUUUAGUUUACACUUUUUAAUUAAGUUGUGUGUAUGUAUGUUUGUGUGUGUGUAUGUGUGUGUGUGUGUGUGUGUGUGUGUGUGUGUGUGUGUGUGUGUGUGUGUGUGUGUGUGUGUGUGUGUGUGUGAGUGUGUGUGUGUGUGAGAGAGAGAGAGAGAGAGAAAGAGAGAGAGAGUGAGAGAAUAUUAAGAAGCAGGUCAUUUAGCCAUAGUUUUUAAAAUUUUAUUUAUUAAAAGUAAGUGCUUACUAUAGUAUUUUUACUACAAAAGCGAUAUUACGUAGGUCAAAAUUUUUGACGUAAGAGAACUGUCAAAACAUUAGAAUGUGACUUUUCAUUAUAAUAACUUUUCAAGUGACUUUUCGUUUAUAAUAAACAUGGCAAUUCACAUUUUAAUGUUUUGACAGUUCUCUUACGUCAAAAAUUUUGACCUACGUAAUAUCGUGUUUGUAGUAAAAAUACUAUAUUAGGUAUCUUUGAAUGUGCUUAAAUUUAUUAUACAUUAUCACAUUUCACAUUCUUUGUGAUUUAUUAUUAAUGUAAUUACUUAUAUCCAAUUACAUAAUGUAUAGGUUGAACGUUUAAAGAAACAGAACUUAUUUUUUCCAACUUUUUUAUAAUGGUUUUGUAAUGUAAUAUUACAUGUGGUUCUAAAUAUUUUGACCAGUAAAUUGAUGUGUCUCCAUUUCUUUUUUAUAUACAAAUCAUAAUAAAAUGCUUUUAUACAAAGCAAAAUACAAUUCUUCAAUUUUUAAUAUAACACUUUAAAUAUAGUCUUCAUUUGGAAAAACAGUAGGUACAACUAAGAUUACCAAUUAACGUUGACGAAUAAUCAAAUAAAUCACUAUUCUACUAAUUCACAUAUUUGCACUUGGCACUGUGUAUAAUAUAUUAUGUGACCUUUUUAAGCUAAGUUUAUUACAUAUCUAUAAUUUGUAGAUCUGUAUAUUUCUUUUAAUUAAUUAUUAAUGUUCUGACAGUUUUAUGUAAAUUAUUUAUACUUAUUACAAAUAGCAAUUUUUUUUAAUUUCUGCGUUUGUCGGUUUGAUAAAUAAAACACAUUAUUAUCGCGAUAUUUGU
rnacentral:misc_RNA from 1 species